AGACCGAUAGCGAACAAGUAGAGUGAUCGAAAGAUGAAAAGCACUUUGAAAAGAGAGUUAAACAGCACGUGAAAUUGUUGAAAGGGAAGCGUUUGCGACCAGACUCGCCCGUCGGGGUUCAGCCGGCAUUCGUGCCGGUGUACUUCCCCGUGGGCGGGCCAGCGUCGGUUUGGGCGGCCGGUCAAAGGCCCUCGGAAUGUAUCACCUCUCGGGGUGUCUUAUAGCCGAGGGUGCAAUGCGGCCUGCCUGGACCGAGGAACGCGCUUCGGCUCGGACGCUGGCGUAAUGGUCGUAAAUGACCCGUCUUGAAACACGGACCAAGAAUCNACCCGUCUUGAAACACGGACCAAG
rnacentral:rRNA from 1 species